CUAUUCUCCUGUCUCGGCCUCCUGAGUAGCUGGGAUUGCAGGUGCCCGCCGCCACACCAGAUGGUCACAGCCUCUUGGUCUAGUAGAAAAGUCUACCCGAAGCCUCUGAGAGGCCCAACAUAAUCAGGGACCACAGGAAACAGUACAGCAGUAACAAUGAGAAGGGGAUGGAGUGCUGUGGGACUCAGCAAGUGAAAGUGAAGAAACUUCAGGUCCUGGAAUGUGGAAUCCAGAUGGAGUCUCGCUCAGUCACCCAGGCUGGAGUGCACUGGUGUGGUCUUGGCUCACUGAAAC